rnacentral:tRNA from 1 species
UAUAAGGUGUCCGAGAUUUAGGUGUUGGUUUGUAAAACCAGAAACGAGGGGUACCUCUCUUAUAA